AACGUAGGAGGCAAGCGUUAUCCGGAUUUACUGGGCGUAAAGCGCGUGUAGGCGGUUCGGCAAGUUGGAUGUGAAAGCUCCUGGCCUAACUAGGAGAGGUCGUUCAAUACUACCGAACUUGAGGGCAUCAGAGGAAGGUGGAAUUCCCGGUGUAGUGGUGAAAUGCGUAGAUAUCGGGAGGAACACCAGUGGCGAAAGCGGCCUUCUGGGAUGCAUCUGACGCUCAGACGCGAAAGCUAGGGUAGCAAACGGG
rnacentral:rRNA from 1 species